UAGGGAAUCUUCGGCAAUGGGGGCAACCCUGACCGAGCAACGCCGCGUGAGUGAAGAAGGUUUUCGGAUCGUAAAGCUCUGUUGUAAGAGAAGAACGUGUGUGAGAGUGGACAGUUCACACAGUGACGGUAACUUACCAGAAAGGGACGGCUAACUACGUGCCAGCAGCCGCGGUAAUACGUAGGUCCCGAGCGUUGUCCGGAUUUAUUGGGCGUAAAGCGAGCGCAGGCGGUUUAAUAAGUCUGAAGUUAAAGGCAGUGGCUUAACCAUUGUUCGCUUUGGAAACUGUUAAACUUGAGUGCAGAAGGGGAGAGUGGAAUUCCAUGUGUAGCGGUGAAAUGCGUAGAUAUAUGGAGGAACACCGGUGGCGAAAGCGGCUCUCUGGUCUGUAACUGACGCUGAGGCUCGAAAGCGUGGGGAGCAAACAGG
rnacentral:rRNA from 1 species